rnacentral:ncRNA from 1 species
AGGAGCCAUGCGAGAUGAAAGUCUCAAGCACGGUUUUGUAUGAGAGAAAGAAGCAAGGAAUCCUCUUUUUACUCUGAC